AUUGAACGCUGGCGGCAGGCCUAACACAUGCAAGUCGAGCGGGGUUUUCGGACCUAGCGGCGGACGGGUGAGUACUGCGUAGGAAGCUACCCGAUAGAGGGGGAUACCCGUUGGAAACGACUGUUAAUACCGCAUAAUGUCUACGGACCAAAGUGAUGGACCUUCGGGCCACAUGCUAUCGGGUGUGCCUACGUGGGAUUAGCUAGUUGGUGGGGUAAUGGCUCACCAAGGCGACGAUCCCUAGCUGGUUUGAGAGGAUGAUCAGCCACACUGGAACUGAGACACGGUCCAGACUCCUAGGGGAGGCAGCAGUGGGGAAUAUUGGACAAUGGGUGCAAGCCUGAUCCAGCCAUGCUGCGUGUGUGAAGAAGGCCUUCGGGUUGUAAAGCACUUUCAGUAAGGAGGAAGCGUUGAGUGUUAAUAGUACUCAGCGUUGACGUUACUUACAGAAGAAGCACCAGCUAACUCUGUGCCAGCAGCCGCCGUAAAAC
rnacentral:rRNA from 1 species